rnacentral:lncRNA from 1 species
UUCAAUGUUAAUAUAUUAUCGGUUUACCUCUUAAGAACCUUCGAUGGACAAAAGAUUUCUGAUAAAAAAAGAUCUCUUCCAUGCAUAAGCUUUUGGAACUCUUUUAGUUCUAUGAUACACAUGCAGCUCAAAAUCUAAAACUUGAUGAAUGAUGACCUUAAAACUUUGCACAAAAAAAAAAAAAGAAGAUGACCAUAAAACAACAUAUAUGUCGUGGCUCUUGGGUAAAAUGAAUUAGG